UACGGAGGGUGCGAGCGUUGUCCGGAAUCACUGGGCGUAAAGGGCGCGUAGGCGGCCGAGCGAGGCCGUGGUGAAAGCCCGGGGCUCAACCCCGGGUCGGCCAUGGCGACUGCUCGGCUCGAGGGCUGUAGAGGCGGGCGGAAUUCCGGGUGUAGCGGUGGAAUGCGUAGAGAUCCGGAAGAACACCGGUGGCGAAGGCGGCCCGCUGGGCAGCAUCACUGACGCUGAGGCGCGACAGCGUGGGGAGCAAACAGGAUUAGAAACCCCCGUAGUCC
rnacentral:rRNA from 1 species